rnacentral:rRNA from 1 species
GACGAACGCUGGCGGCGUGCUUAACACAUGCAAGUCGAACGGAAAGGCCCUGCUUUUGUGGGGUGCUCGAGUGGCGAACGGGUGAGUAACACGUGAGUAACCUGCCCUUGCCUUUGGGAUAACUUCAGGAAACUGGGGCUAAUACCGGAUAGGAGCUCCUGCUGCAUGGUGGGGGUUGGAAAGUUUCGGCGGUUGGGGAUGGACUCGCGGCUUAUCAGCUUGGUGGUUGGGUAGUGGCUUACCAAGGCCUUGACGGGUGGCCGGCCUGGGAGGGUGACCGGCCACAUUAGGACUGGGAUACGGCCCAGACUCCUACGGGAGGCAGCAGUGGGGAAUAUUGCACAAUGGGCGGAAGCCUGAUGCAGCAACGCCGCGUGCGGGAUGACGGCCUGCGGGUUGUAAACCGCUGUCGCCUGUGACGAAGCGUGAGUGACGGUAAUGGGUAAAGAAGCACCGGCUAACUACGUG